rnacentral:rRNA from 2 species
GUGGGGUGACUGCGUACCUUUUGUAUAAUGGGUCAGCGACUUAUAUUCUGUAGCAAGGUUAACCGAAUAGGGGAGCCGGAGGGAAACCGAGUCUUAAUUGGGCGUUAAGUUGCAGGGUAUAGACCCGAAACCCGGUGAUCUAGCCAUGGGCAGGUUGAAGGUUGGGUAACACUAACUGGAGGACCGAACCGACUAAUGUUGAAAAAUUAGCGGAUGACCUGUGGCUGGGGGUGAAAGGCCAAUCAAACCGGGAGAUAGCUGGUUCUCCCCGAAAGCUAUUUAGGUAGCGCCUCGUGAAUUCAUCUCCGGGGGUAGAGCACUGUUUCGGCUAGGGGGCCAUCCCGGCUUACCAACCCGAUGCAAACUGCGAAUACCGGAGAAUGUUAUCACGGGAGACACACGGCGGGUGCUAACGUCCGUCGUGAAGAGGGAAACAACCCAGACCGCCAGCUAAGGUCCCAAAGUCAUGGUUAAGUGGGAAACGAUGUGGGAAGGCCCAGACAGCCAGGAUGUUGGCUUAGAAGCAGCCAUCAUUUAAAGAAAGCGUAAUAGCUCACUGGUCGAGUCGGCCUGCGCGGAAGAUGUAACGGGGCUAAACCAUGCACCGAAGCUGCGGCAGCGA